GGGCUCACUCCCAGUAGGAGGGGAGGACUCACUCCCGGUAGGAGGUGGGGAGGACUCACUCCCAGGAGGUGGGAGGACUCAAUCCCAGUAGGAGGUGGGGGGGACUCACUCCCAGUAGGAGGGGGGAGGACUCACUCCCAGUAGGAGGGAGGAGGACUCAGUCCCAGUAGAAGGGGGGAGGACUCACUCCCAGCAGGAGGGGGGGGGACUCACCCCCAGUAGGAGGGGGGGGGGUUCCCCCCCAGCAGGGGGUGGGGGGGCUCACUCCCAGGAGGGAGGACUCACUCCCAGUAGGAGGGGGGAGGACUCACUCCCAGUAGGACAGGAGGGCUCACUCCCAGUAGGAGGUGGAGGGGACUCACUCCCAGUAGGAGGGGGG